CCAGAAACCCUUUGUGACUUAUACCUUACUGUUGCCUCGGCGCAUGCUGGCCCCCUCGGGGCCCCCUGGAGACAGGGAGCAGGCACGCCGGCGGCCAAGUUAACUCUUGUUUUUACACUGAAACUCUGAGAAAAAACACAAAUGAAUCAAAACUUUCAACAACGGAUCUCUUGGUUCUGGCAUCGAUGAAAAACGCAGCGAAAUGCGAUAAGUAAUGUGAAUUGCAGAAUUCAGUGAAUCAUCCAAUCUUUGAACGCACAUUGCGCCCUCUGGUAUUCCGGAGGGCAUGCCUGUUCGAGCGUCAUUUCAACCCUCAAGCAUUGCUUGGUGUUGGGGCACUGCUUUUAACCAAGCAAGCCCUGAAUCUAGUGGCGAGCUCACCAGACCCCGAGCGCAUAAUUAAACCCCCCCUUUGGAAAGCCCUUGGCGGGCCCUUCCCUUAAAACACCAACUUUUGAAAUUUUGACUCCGAUCAAGUAAGAAUACCCGCUGAACUUAAACUAUCAAUAAACGGAAGA
rnacentral:rRNA from 1 species